CGGCGGCGGUGUCUCAGGCGGCAAUGGAAGGAUCCGAGCCUGUGGCCGUGCAUCAGGGGGAAGAGGCGUCCUGUUCUUCCUGGGGGACUGGCAGCACAAAUACAAAUUUGCCCAUUAUGUCAACAGCAUCUGUGGAGAUCGAUGAUGCAUUAUACAGUCGACAGAGGUACGUUCUUGGAGACACAGCAAUGCAGAAGAUGGCCAAGUCCCAUGUUUUCUUAAGUGGGAUGAGUGGUCUUGGUUUGGAAAUUGCAAAGAAUCUUGUUCUUGCAGGGAUUAAGGCAGUUACAAUUCAUGAUACAGAAAAAUGCCGAGCAUGGGAUCUAGGAACCAACUUCUUUCUCAGUGAAGAUGAUGUUGUUAAUAAGAGAAACAGGUAAAGAUA
rnacentral:sRNA from 1 species